UCGUCCAAAAAGAAAUCGAUUAGUCCUUCAAUAAGAAAAGCCUCUCUGUUUAUCUUGCAGUUAAAAACUCUCAAAGUAUAUUUUUCCAGCAAAAUAAGAUUGAGAUGGGACAUAAUUGAACUCAUAUCCUAUGAUUCUUUCCCAUCCUACAUAUCCUAUUAUCUGCAUAAGAAGUAGGUGCAACAUCAUAUUUUUACUGUUAUACAAGCAUCACGUGAUCAAUUGAUGCAGUGACAUAAAAUAAAAGGAAAAGUAGUCAGAG
rnacentral:lncRNA from 1 species